AUCUCCUCGAGUGACGUGUACACGGUGCCGCAACCCGCAACGAUAAAGACGAGUAUUAGAGAAGGUGUUCAUCUAUGCAUUUCAUUUCCUCAUCUGAGUGGAAGCGCACGUGUUUGUUAUAAAAGUGAAGAAGAUGGAUAGAGUGCUAACAGUACUAUCUUGGACGGUCGUUUAAUUCCUGGAACGCGGUGUGGCGCAGAUCCCCCCUCCCUUCGCUCGAGUUGUGAGCGGAGGGCAUUUCCGGAGUCUCUCCCCCGGAAUGGGAAUCGCGACCCUGUCCCUGCAUUUUGAGCGAUGGAAUGGUGGAUGCGCA